rnacentral:rRNA from 1 species
UGGGGAAUAUUGCACAAUGGGCGAAAGCCUGAUGCAGCAACGCCGCGUGCGGGAUGACGGCCUUCGGGUUGUAAACCGCUUUCAGCAGGGACGAAGGUUUUCUGACGGUACCUGCAGAAGAAGCACCGGCUAACUACGUGCCAGCAGCCGCGGUGAUACGUAGGGUGCGAGCGUUGUCCGGAAUUAUUGGGCGUAAAGAGCUUGUAGGCGGUCCGUUGCGUCGGAAGUGAAAACUCAGGGCUUAACCCUGAGCCUGCUUUCGAUACGGGCGGACUUGAGGGAUGUAGGGGAGAACGGAAUUCCUGGUGGAGCGGUGGAAUGCGCAGAUAUCAGGAGGAACACCAGUGGCGAAGGCGGUUCUCUGGACAUUUCCUGACGCUGAGAAGCGAAAGCGUGGGGAGCAAACAGGCUUAGAUACCCUGGUAGUCCACGCCGUAAACGGUGGGCACUAGGUGUGGGACCCAUUCCACGGGUUCCGUGCCGUAGCUAACGCAUUAAGUGCCCCGCCUGGGGAGUACGGCCGCAAGGCUAAAACUCAAAUGAAUUGA